UCCCAUAUAGUCUAGUGGUCAGGAUUUGGCGCUCUCACCGCCAUGACCCGGGUUAAUUUCCCGGUGUGGGAA
rnacentral:tRNA from 1 species